ACUCAAAUGAAUAGACGGGGGCCCGCACAAGCGGUGGAGCAUGUGGAUUAAUACGUCACUAACCGUAGAACCUUACCCAGGCUUGACAUCUGCGGAAAGAAGGUGAAAGCCUUCCGUGCCCCGCAAGGGGAGCCGCAAGACAGGUGUUGCAUGGCUGUCGUCAGCUCGUGUCGUGAGAUGUUGGGUUAAGUCCCGCAACGAGCGCAACCCUCACCGCCUGUUGCCAGCAUUCAGUUGGGCACUCUGGCGGAACUGCCCGGGUAACCGGGAGGAAGGUGGGGACGACGUCAAGUCAGCAUGGCCCGUACGCCUGGGGCUUCACACAUGCUACAAUGGCCGGUACAGAGGGUCCCGAGCCCGCGAGGGGGAGGCAAUCCCAAAAAGCCGGUCUCAGUUCGGAUCGCAGGCUGCAACUCGCCUGCGUGAAGGCGGAAUCGCUAGUAACCGCCGGUCAGCUAAACGGCGGUGAAUACGUUCCCGGGCCUUGUACACACCGCCCGU
rnacentral:rRNA from 1 species